CACGUAGGGUGCGAGCGUUGUCCGGAAUUAUUGGGCGUAAAGAGCUCGUAGGCGGUGUGUCGCGUCGGCCGUGAAAACCUGCAGCUUAACUGUGGGCUUGCGGUCGAUACGGGCAUCACUGGAGUUCGGCAGGGGAGACUGGAAUUCCUGGUGUAGCGGUGAAAUGCGUAGAUAUCUGGAGGAACACCGGUGGCGAAGGCGGCAUCCUGGACCAACACUGACGGCUGAGUGAGCGAAAGCCAGGGGAGCAAACGGG
rnacentral:rRNA from 1 species